rnacentral:rRNA from 1 species
ACUCAAAGGAAUUGACGGGGGCCCGCACAAGCAGUGGAGCAUGUGGUUUAAUUCGAUGCAACGCGAAGAACCUUACCCAGAUUUGAAAUACGGAGGACAGUCUCGGAAACGAGAUCUCCCGCAAGGGUCUUCGAACAGGUGCUGCAUGGCUGUCGUCAGCUCGUGCCGUGAGGUGUUGGGUUAAGUCCCGCAACGAGCGCAACCCUUAUCAUUAGUUGCCAGCACGUAAUGGUGGGAACUCUAGUGAGACUGCCCGGGUUAACCGGGAGGAAGGUGAGGAUGACGUCAAGUCCGCAUGGCCUUUAUAUCUGGGGCUACACACGUGCUACAAUGGUCGGUACAGAAGGCAGCAAGACCGCAAGGUGGAGCAAAUCCGUAAAACCGAUCUCAGUUCGGAUUGUAGUCUGCAACUCGACUACAUGAAGUUGGAAUUGCUAGUAAUGACGUGUCAGCUAUAACGUCGUGAAUACGUUCCCGGGCCUUGUACACACCGCCCGU